UCGAGAAUCUUCGGCAAUGGGCGCAAGCCUGACCGAGCGACGCCGCGUGUGGGAUGAAGGCCUUCGGGUUGUAAACCACUGUCAGAGGGGAGGAAAUGCGUGGGGGUUCUCCCCCAUGUUUGACCUAGCCUCAGAGGAAGUGUGGGCUAAGUUCGUGCCAGCAGCCGCGGUAAGACGAACCACACGAACGUUAUUCGGAAUCACUGGGCUUAAAGGGUGCGUAGGCGGCGCGGAAAGUUGGGUGUGAAAUCCCUUGGCUUAACCGAGGAAUUGCGCCCAAAACUACCGUGCUCGAGGGAGAUAGAGGUGAGCGGAACUUAGGGUGGAGCGGUGAAAUGCGUUGAUAUCCUAAGGAACACCGGUGGCGAAAGCGGCUCACUGGAUCUCUUCUGACGCUGAGGCACGAAAGCUAGGGGAGCGAACGGGAUUAGAUACCCCCGUAGUCC
rnacentral:rRNA from 1 species